rnacentral:rRNA from 1 species
GUCUAUGGCCAUACCACCCUGAAUGUGUCCAAUCUCAUCUGAUCUCAGAAGCUAAACAAGGUCAGGCCUGGUUAGCACAUAAAUGGGAAAAAUACAGCUAUGUCUAAAGGCU